rnacentral:rRNA from 1 species
UACGUAGGUGACCAGCGUUGUCCGGAUUUACUGGGCGUAAAGAGCGCGCAGGCGGUCGUUCAAGUCGAGUGUGAAAGCCCCCGGCUCAACUGGGGAGGGUCAUUCGAUACUGAUCGACUCGAAGGCAGGAGAGGGAAGUGGAAUUCCCGGUGUAGUGGUGAAAUGCGUAGAUAUCGGGAGGAACACCAGUGGCGAAGGCGGCUCACUGGACCGGAACUGACGCUGAGGCGCGAAAGCGUGGGGAGCAAACAGG